CUCGGAGAAGAUUAAUUACAAUGCAGUCAGUGGCGAACGGGUGAGUAACACGUGGGAAACCUACUCUUAGCAGGGGAUAACAUUUGGAAACAGAUGCUAAUACCGUAUAACAAUUAGAACCGCAUGGUUCAGUUUAAAAGAUGGUUCUGCUAUCACUAAGAGAUGGUCCCGCGGCGUAUUAGCUAGAUGGUGAGGUAAUGGCUCACCCAUGGCAAUGAUACGUAGCCGAGUUGAGAGACUGAUCGGCCACAUUGGGACUGAGACACGGCCCAAACUCCUACGGGAGGCAGCAGUAGGGAAUCUUCCACAAUGGACGAAAGUCUGAUGGAGCAACGCCGCGUGUGUGAUGAAGGCUUUCGGGUCGUAAAACACUGUUAUAAGAGAAGAACGUCAGUGAGAGUAACUGUUCAUUGAGUGACGGUAUCUUAUCAGAAAGGGACGGCUAAAUACGUG
rnacentral:rRNA from 1 species